AAUAGAUACCCCGGUAGUCCACGCCGUAAACGAUGAGUGCUAAGUAUUAGGGGGUUUCCGCCCCUUAGUGCUGCAGCUAACGCAUUAAGCACUCCGCCUGGGGAGUACGGUCGCAAGACUGAAACUCAAAGGAAUUGACGGGGGCCCGCACAAGCGGUGGAGCAUGUGGUUUAAUUCGAAGCAACGCGAAGAACCUUACCAGGUCUUGACAUCCCAUUGACCACUAUGGAGACAUAGUUUUCCCUUCGGGGACAACGGUGACAGGUGGUGCAUGGUUGUCGUCAGCUCGUGUCGUGAGAUGUUGGGUUAAGUCCCGCAACGAGCGCAACCCUUGUUCUUAGUUGCCAUCAUUUAGUUGGGCACUCUAAGGAGACUGCCGGUGACAAACCGGAGGAAGGUGGGGAUGACGUCAAAUCAUCAUGCCCCUUAUGACCUGGGCUACACACGUGCUACAAUGGACGGUACAAACGGUUGCCAACCCGCGAGGGGGAGCUAAUCCGAUAAAACCGUUCUCAGUUCGGAUUGUAAGCUGCAACUCGCCUACAUGAAGCC
rnacentral:rRNA from 1 species